GAUGAAGAACGUAGCAAAAUGCGAUACGUAAUGUGAAUUGCAGAUUUCAGUGAAUCAUCGAAUCUUUGAACGCACAUUGCGCCCGCCAGUAUUCUGGCGGGCAUGCCUGUUCGAGCGUCAUUUCAACCAUCAAGCGCCUCGCUUGUGUUGGGGCCCUGCGGCUGCCGCAGGCCCCUAAAUCCAGUGGCGGGCUCGUCGUCGUACCGAGUGCAGUAAACAUCCUCGCUCAGGGAACCCGACGGGUGCCGGCCGUGAAACCCCCCCUCCUCAAGGUUGACCUCGGAUCAGGUAGGAAUACCCGCUGAACUUAAGCAUAUCAAUAAGCGGAGGA
rnacentral:misc_RNA from 1 species